GUUCGGAUCGCAGCCUGCAACCCGGCUGCGUGAAGCUGGAAUCGCUAGUAAUCGCGGAUCAGAAUGCCGCGGUGAAUACGUUCCCGGGUCUUGUACACACCGCCCGUCACACCAUGGGAGCCGGAAACGCCCGAAGCCAGUGGCCUGACCGUAAGGAGGGAGCUGUCGAAGGCGGAUCCGGUGACCGGGGUGAAGUCGUAACAAGGUAGC
rnacentral:rRNA from 1 species